CUUCAUCUUCAGAGCUCAUCCCUCACCUCCACACCCUCCCCCCAAAAUCCAUCAUAUCCAGGCGAGUCGACGGAUCAGCCAACCAACAGACGACAAAUCGUGGACGGAAAGCACCGUGUGAUGCCGAGUAACGACCGUACGCCGCGAGCCCACAGCCACCGUACUUUGCUAAAGAACCACCACGCCCGCUGGGGAUGAACCACCACCGUACAGAGAUUUUUCCCAGAUCUACAACGAAUUUUCUGGGAUUGAGCAGAAUUUUCCCAAUCACAAGGUCUCUCUCUCUAUGGGCUGGGGCUCCCAUUCUGAACCAAGAACGCUCUCAUUCUUGAUGCUUCUAGGUUUCAUUUGUAUAGAGAUGAAGAUAUCUCAGGACUUCUUUUCCUAUUUUAGGAGGGUUUAAUAAUGCCUGUGGUGGAGCUCCGUUCACCUUAAAUGCUCUGCGUGC